UGGUGGAGUGAUUUGUCUGGUUAAUUCCGUUAACGAACGAGACCUCGACCUGCUAAAUAGUUUGGCGGAUUCUUCGGGAUACGUACAUAACUUCUUAGAGGGACUAUCGGUGUGUAGCCGAUGGAAGUUCGAGGCAAUAACA
rnacentral:rRNA from 1 species